AUCUGCAAGUGCUGAAAUGGUUGGAAGAGCAAAGCAGUGCCUACAGCUAUUAAACUACUUCUAACAUCUGCUCUUUUUUUUUUGUUCUUGUGCAAAACAUCCUCAAAGUCUUGCAUUGCUUGAGUGUCAAGCUGCAGGAGGAUGGGCUUACCCUGCUAGAGGCAUCGUAUGCCUUUGAAACUGCAGUGCUGAGGCUGACGGGCAUGGAAACAGAGGCAGGACAGUAUGUUGAGAGCUUUCUAGCACAAACUCAAGAGGGAACAUUUCACAAUGUGCAGCUGCUGAGGUUCAGGGAAAGCAGAGAGGAGUUCCACAGUGUGAAGAGGGAGCUCUUGUCUUCUGUGGUCACCAAUACCGUUUCCAGGGUGUUAAAUCCCAUCAAGUGUUGCUAGCUGCAUGAAGGCUCGUGGAUCCUCAGGAGUGACCUGCUGACCAUCAGAAGCUGGCCAGCUAUGGAAGUGACCACAUCAUCACAGUCACCAAGCACUUUGCUGAUGUGCUCGACCGUAUGGGCUGUGAUGGUGCAGAGUGGCUCAGUGCUAUGGUCAUGCCUGGCAGGACUUUUUUGUGGAUGAUGAUCAAAGAAAAAACUUCUGCAACUUCCUCCUUUGCCUCUGUCCACAGCAUCUGUCGAGAGGGGCUUCAGUGCCAUGAAAUGUAUCAAGUCAGACUGGAGGAGCAAACUCAGUGUAAACACACUGACAAGGCAGCUCUUUAUUAGCCUGGAGGGUCCAGACAUGGAACAGUUCAACUCCAUGUCUGCAGUGGACAGGUGGCUCAUGGAAGCAGACAGAGGGAGCUUUGAGUGAACACGCACACACAAACAAAUGCAAUUAUGUUCUUUCUCUCACUGUUAGUACAGAUCUCUCAGCAUUUAUUUAAUUGUUAAUGUUAAUUUUGUUUAAUUGAGUUUAUUAUCAAGUUAUCAUAAAUUCUUUUCUCCUCUCUCUGUGUAUUCCAUACCCACUGGCUUUACACAAAAUAUAAAGAAACCUUCAUUUGU